UUACAGAACGCUCGGUAAUUUUUGACGAAUCGUCAGCUUUGUAAAUUUACAAAACGCUCGGUAAUUCGUGACGAAUAGUCAGCAUUGUAAAUACCGACUCAUGCAGCAAUUUUUGAUGAACACUUUGUAAAUUUUUACUGAGCUAUCUUCUAUGUUUGACGUUUCAGCGAGAAUGAAAAAUUACCGAACACUCGUCAAGCAAAUUAAUUACUGAACAGAUAGCUGAUGGCUCAGCUGUUGAGAACUCGUUAAAAAGAUUGCUGAGUUCGGUAAAAGAAACUAAGUGUAAAGUAGAAGCGGUGGAAAUAACAGCCGACGACGCUCUUGCCCAAAAGUUCAAAAAUUUUGUUCUAAAGGAACUGAAAGGGCGAUGUGACGAUAUAGAAAAUAACAUGGCUCUUGCGUUGGCAACGUGGCUUGAUCCUCGCUUUAUGUCCUUCCAUUUUCAAAAAAUAACUGCAGUAGCUAACGCAAAAACACUGAUUCAGAAGGAAAUAAUAAAAAUGCUCCAGGAAGAAGUCGAAGGGGCUCAGAAUACCAAUGACGCUCAAAAGCUACCAACAUACGACGAAAGAAGCAAAGACGAUUUAUGGAGCACGCAUGAUAAAUUACUUCAGUCAUCGUACAUGAGUGGAGCACCGGAGGAUUUUAGCUCUAAACGCCUUCCUCGAGACAAAGCAACCCGUUGGUAAUAUGGGAAACAAUUGCCCACCAAUUUCCACAUCUAUUUAAGCUAGCACGAGUAUUCGUGGCAGCGCUCGGCACUUCAGUUCCGUCAGAGAGGCUUUUCUCUCUGGCUGGACGAAUUAUGGAUGACGAACGAAAUCGACUCACCACUUUGCAUCUAUCGCAGAGGAUUUUCCUUUUUGUUGACAAAGAAACGUGGUAUAAAGCGGUUUCAGAAAGUGCACGGGAAAGGCGAAAUUAAGUACUAGUCAGUUGUCACAUGUUGGAAUCUCGGCUAGGAGAGACCGUCAGAGUCAAAAGAAUCAUGGCAUUAGCCCCCGCAAUUGUUCUGUACACUAACGGUUAGCUGCAAAGUAUGUGUCGAAUAAACAGGAGGGCUUAGCUUUUAAU